rnacentral:rRNA from 1 species
AUUGAACGCUGGCGGCAUGCUUUACACAUGCAAGUCGAACGGUAACAGGGAGCUUGCUCCGCUGACGAGUGGCGAACGGGUGAGUAAUGCGUCGGAACGUGCCGAGUAGUGGGGGAUAACGCAUCGAAAGGUGUGCUAAUACCGCAUACGAACUGAGGUUGAAAGUGGGGGACCUUCGGGCCUCACGCUAUUCGAGCGGCCGACGUCUGAUUAGCUAGUUGGUGAGGUAAAGGCUCACCAAGGCGACGAUCAGUAGCGGGUCUGAGAGGAUGAUCCGCCACACUGGGACUGAGACACGGCCCAGACUCCUACGGGAGGCAGCAGUGGGGAAUUUUGGACAAUGGGCGCAAGCCUGAUCCAGCCAUGCCGCGUGUCUGAAGAAGGCCUUCGGGUUGUAAAGGACUUUUGUCCGGGAGCAAAUGCUGGUGGCUAACAUCCACCGGAGCUGAGAGUACCGGAAGAAUAAGCACCGGCUAACUACGUGCCAGCAGCCGCGGUAA